rnacentral:rRNA from 1 species
AUACGUAGGGGGCGAGCGUUGUUCGGAAUCAUUGGGCGUAAAGGGCGCGCAGGCGGCGAGGCAAGUCCGGUGUGAAAGUGCUCGGCUCAACCGAGUGAUGCGCUGGAAACUGCCCUGCUUGAGUACAGGAGGGGACGUCGGAAUUCCAGGUGUAGGGGUGAAAUCUGUAGAUAUCUGGAAGAACACCGGUGGCGAAGGCGGACGUCUGGCCAUGUACUGACGCUGAGGCGCGAAGGUGCGGGGAGCGAACAGGUUUAGAUACCCUGGUAGUCCGCACAGUAAACGAUGUGCACCAGGUGGCGGGGGGUAGCCCUCGGUACCGAAGCCAACGCAUUAAGUGCACCGCCUGGGGAGUAUGCUCGCAAGGGUGAAACUCAAAGGAAUUGACGGGG